rnacentral:lncRNA from 1 species
GACCCCGCGCCGGGCGCUGAGCCGGGACGGGACGUGGGAAGGACCGGGGCGCCAGCCCGCACUCUCCCCGGCCCUGCGUACCCAGAGCCCCCGGGCCUGGGGCGCCCCCUCCCCGCGGCGGCCGCACUUGCAGCGCUCAGCCUCCGGGAUGCGGCGCCAAGUGGGGGCGCGGGCGGGAGCGGGGGCGCGGCCUUGACUGCCACGGACGCUCCGGCGGCCGGAAAGCGGGGACGCAAGAGCGCCCUCAGGCCAAGCGCGCAGGUCGCCGGCGCCUCCUGCGCGGAGCCCGGGAACUGCGAGCUGCGUAGAGGCGGCCGGGGGCUGCUUUCAGGCUCUGCGUGAUCUGGGUGCACUGGCCGGGAGGGACUCCCCCUGCCCCCGCUGCCCCGCCGCGUCUCCCGGUUUGCUCGAGGCCACCCUCCUGUGGACAGAGAUGAGGUUUUCAAACAAGUAAGCAGAAAUAAAACCAGCCACGCAUCCGAAAGGACCCACAAACAUCCCCCUCAGGCACCGCCAUGCUAACUUGAGGGCUGCAGUCAGGACCCGCUCCAGUGGUCGUCCAAGGAGACCAGAGACCUCCUUCAAAGACCCCCUGGUUCCCUCCUUUCCGCCGCCGCCCCCCCUCCCCGCCAGGGCCCCUGCAGGAAAAUGGGGAGCCCCGGACAGUGUUCCUGAGCACAGAGCCACCGGCAUGAGGGCGCUGAUGUGAAGAUGCCCCUUGGGUCAGAAGCUGGGGCUAAAGCCCUGCAGGAUGGUUAGCCAAGGUCAUUCCUAGGACAACGGUCAGAAGCUCCGUCUGCGUACUCCUGGCCCCAGUCUCCUGCUCGUUCCUUGACCUUGGUCAGAGACGGACCCCUGAAGGUCUUGCUGACAAAGAACCUCCUCCCACCAGCUCUCUCCUGCCAUGCUCUGGGGGUCGGAGGUGAACCUUCUGGGACUCUCUGCGCACGCCCCUGGGACCGCACCUACGCCCCUGGGACGGCACCUAGACCUAAACUUCAUCCCAGGCCCCACCCCGCCCCAGCCCCAGCCAUGCCCACGGCUGCAGGGCAGUCCAGCUGUCCAGAGGGGAUGCUACCAGUUGGAGACACAGUCACGUGGCUUGGCAUGUGGCCCUGGCCCAGGAUCACCGCCCUGCACACUCCCCCGGGGCUCUGGGAACUGGGGCUUCUGUAGAGGCACGUGCAAGCUGAGGCAGCUGUGUCUAGCGGCUUCCAGCCCAGGGCUCAGGACACAAGAAGCCCUCCCCUAGGCUCCAAGGUCCUCCUUGCCCAAGGAUGAGAGGUCAUUGUGCGAUGGGGUCCAGAGGUGUGACCGCUUCACUAGAGCAGGUGAGAAUGGGGCAGGGGUGCCGGCCGUCUGUUCUACGUAUUCCUGGUGGGAGCCUCUGCUCACCAGGAAACUGAUCGUAGAUUUACAUGUUCUCAUUGCUUUUUGCUUUUUCCUUCUUUUUUCUGGCCACGCCCGUGGCAUGGGGGAGUCCUGAGACCAGAGAUCAAACCCGAACCACAGCAGCGAUCCAAGCCUCUGCACCAGCAACCCCAGAUCCUUGACCCGCCACACCAGGAGGGACUCUUUUGGUUGUUUUGAUCGUUUGUAUUUUCUAAAUAUUAAAGAAAUUCUUUUUUCCCUAAUGAAGGGCGUGUAGAAAGCAUUGAAAACUGUUUUUUGGUCUUAGGGCUGCACCCACAGCACGUGGAUGUUCCCCGCUAGGGGUCGAAUCGGAGUUGCAGCCACCGCAAGGCCAGAUCUGAGUCUCAUCUGUGCCCUCUGCCACAGCUUGCGACAACACCAGCUCCUUAACCCACUGAGCGAGGCCAGGGAUUGAACUCAUGGACACUGCGUCGGGUUCUGAACCCGCCGAGCCGCAACGGGAGCUCCAAAAAGUGUUUAGAAGAUGACAGAUACCCAGAAGCCUGUCCCCGAGGCUUUGGUGCCGUUUCCGUGCACAUGUGCGUGUAAACCCUGCUUGCAGGUUUCCAAUGCUGGGUAUCUACCCAAACCCAGCCUGUGCUGCCUUAAUUUUCACCUCAGUUCCAUGACGUUGGCUCUCUAUUUAUUCUUGCUUCACUGACGAGAAAAAUGCAGCUUAGGUAGAAACUGCAGCUAGCUCCUGGUCACUCGCUCUGGAUCCUAGAGCAGGCGGGGCGGUCCCCGUCCCUCCAUUUAAUCUUUAC